UAUAUACAUAUAUACAUAUAUAUACAUAUAUACAUAUAUAUACAUAUAUACAUAUAUAUACAUAUAUACAUAUAUAUACAUAUAUAAUAUCUGGGAUUUGCUUUUAAAUUAAAUGGAAAAGGAGAAGCAGAUUUGGAUGGGGAAGUAUUGUCCUUGAGUUGUCCUGGAGUUGUUAAAGCUGGGUGAUGGGUUCAUGGGGUUCAUUAGACUAUGCCAUAUAUUUUUGUAUUUAUUUAAAAUUCUGCACAAUACAUACUUUUAAAAAAUUAAGAAUUUCAAGAUUUAAUUUUCAAUUUUCAAGAUGUAUAUAUGGAUAUCUAGAUUUGUGAACCUUGAAGAUCACCAGACAGAUAUAACCAAAGAGGUCCUCUCCAAAGAAUGUCAUAAUCCAACUGUCAAAAGGCAAAGACAAAUAAUUUUAAAAGCAUCAAGAAAAAGCAUACAGUCACAUAUAAGGAAAUUUCCAUUAUACUAUCAGAUUUCUCAGCGGAAAUCUUGAGGGGCAGGAGAAAAUGAGAUGAUAAAGUGCUGAAAGAAAAAUAACUGUCAGUGAAGAAUACUAUACCCAGCAAAGCUGUCUUUCAGAUAUGAAGGAAUAACAAAGUCUUUUCUAGACAGGCAAAAACUGAAGAAAUUUAUCACCACUAAAUCUGCCCUACAAGAAAUUCUUAAGGAAGUUCUUCAAGUAAAUAUGAAAGGAUAGUAAUUAUUGUAAUAAAUACAUAUGAAAUUAUAAACUUGCAAGUAGAAUAAAACACAUAGUAAAAUUCAGAGCACUCCAAUAAGUCACACAUAUUCUAAU
rnacentral:lncRNA from 1 species